GAGGGAAGAACGUUAUCCUGAGUUCAGCCAGCAGCAGCAGCUGUGCAAAGUGGGCUGGGCCAAAGCCCUGCUUCUGAACUGGAGUUGCUACUGAAUGUAUGAGUGUGCGGAUAUGUCUCUCUCACCCCUCCCCAUUAGCUGAUGCCCCCUGCCCUGGCCAGAAAGCCUCUGGAUGGUGGGCAGCCCUGGCUGGCCAUGCUGUCCUGGUAGACAGUGAUGGAGUCGGCGAGGGAGGCCAGGACGGCGGUACCGCAAAGGUUUGGCCUCUAGGGGGCAGCAGAAAGUAUCUAAAGGGGAGGGGGUGGCAUCUUUCCUAGACCUCGCUGGGUCCCAUCUGCAUCUUUCCUAUUGCCACCAACGCUGCUCAUUCCUGUGGAGGGGAGGUUAUUGGGGGGAAAUUGUGCGGUGGUCCCUUCACCAUGGGUCAGAGACCACAUCCCACUGCCAAGCAGUGACCACCCAAGCGUAUAGGCUGGGGGCGGGGACGAGAGGGGCACUUGAGGGGGAGCUCAAAGGGUGAGCAUCUCCUCCGGACCUCAGACCAAGCCUGUGGGGAAGGAGAGAAAGUGCACGGAGAGGGCCGGGACUGGCUGCUCUCCUCUCCAACCCUCUGGGUAGGAGGCCCCGUUCCCAGCAAACCCUGCCUGCUCAGCUCCCCGGCUCCUCCACAAAGGCUCUGCCUCCUCCCUCUUCUCACAACACAGCGACAGGCUUUCCCGCUGCUCUCCCAGCUCUCUAUAGACUCUAUUUUUAUAUCUAUUUAAAACAUAGAAAUGUAUAAAUAUAUAGGAUAUUAUUUAUAGAUAUAUAGACGUGAUUUAAUCUCUUACUCUGUGUGUAUACGUACUGCAUAUGUCCAUAUAUACAAUAUAUAUGCUGUAGCAUCUGUUUUAUAUACUGCACAUACCCCUGCUUCCAUGCACUCUCCUGGGGAGACUGGAUUGCAUAGGUAUUUCCAGGGCGAUACCACUUGAAGGGAUGGGGGGGAGCCAGAUGGAAGAGGAGGGACGUACCAUUUUCCUCCCCAAAGGGCACUUUUUCUCCCUCUGGCUAACACAGAAGAUCACCUCAAAGGCUUCUUAAAAUAUCACAGCUCCAUCCACUCAGCUAAAGCACCUUGUCAACGGAGAGCAGAGAGACACCUUCCUCCGAGCAGGAGAAGAGCCCUGUGUGUCUCUGGACAUAUCCUUUCCUCCUGGAGAUUGGAGCAGAAAGCUAGCCUAAGACCCAGGACCCAGCACCACCUCCCCAGGAGGCCAGCAUCCGGAAUGGGACUGUCUCCGGAUCACCUGCCCUCCAAACAUGCCUUUCUUGCCUAAGGAGGCCUGGCCUCCCCGCUUUGGCUGUGCCAGGCUGGCCUGGCUGGGCCUGCUGCUUGCAGAGGCGAGGGGGUACGAGGUCCGGAGCCUUCUGGCCAUGCUUGGUGUAGGGACCAAGAAAGAACACGAAUUCUACUUGGAAAUCCACCUAGACCGGAAGCCAAAACCAGAUCUAGAUACAGAAUUCCUCUUCCUACAGGGGGGUGGGGGAAAAAACAAAGGGGGUGGGAGCUACAAGUUCUAUUUCCACCCCCAAGCCACUUCUGGACCCCACGAGGCUCCAGGUGAACAGCUAAAAAGAGGCCCAGCCCACAGCCCAGGCUGGGCCACAUCUAGUCCAUUUCAGUGUCUCCGCGGUCCUUUUCAGCAUUCUACAUGCUUGCACUGUUGGUUUUAUGUUGUUGUUGUUGUUUUUAACAUGCUACAUCACUGUCGAAAACAAACAGAAAAGUUUCAAAAAUAAUAUAUAAUAUAUAUAAUAUAUUUAUAUAAUGAAAAGCUAUUGACUAGCAGCAAUGAUUCUAAAGUUAUCUUAGCACCAAGACCAUGGGGGUAGGGGGAAGGGACCUGUGGGGGUGGGGGGGUGAAGGUCUGGCAGGACAAGGAAGGGGGAGGUGACAUGUUCAGUGUUGAUGACAGUUCCACUACGGUUCUCAACGGUGGCAUGAGGCCUCGGGGACAAGAUACACCAAGAAGGAAGGAAGCCACCACAGUUUUCUAAUGUCUGAGCCGAGCAGGUUGGGGACACUGGGGCCAUGCCUGUGGCCAGAUCACACCAUCCUUCGCCCACUGAGAGGGGUGGUACCCGACGGACCACAGGAAAUGCAGAUCUUCCUCCCUCCCCCCAGAUAAACCUGCAUCCAGGAUGCAGGAUCUCUGCAUAUCAAAUAUGCAUCCAUCACAUGUGAAAACACAAACAGAAGAUUUUAACAGCUCACGCACAUCUAAAAAAAAAAAAAAAAAAAAAAAA
rnacentral:lncRNA from 1 species